rnacentral:rRNA from 1 species
GGUUAAGCGACUAAGCGUACACGGUGGAUGCCCUGGCAGUCAGAGGCGAUGAAGGACGUGCUAAUCUGCGAAAAGCGUCGGUAAGGUGAUAUGAACCGUUAUAACCGGCGAUGUCCGAAUGGGGAAACCCAGUGCAAUUCGUUGCACUAUCGUUAACUGAAUACAUAGGUUAACGAGGCGAACCGGGGGAACUGAAACAUCUAAGUACCCCGAGGAAAAGAAAUCAACCGAGAUUCCCCCAGUAGCGGCGAGCGAACGGGGAGCAGCCCAGAGUCUGAAUCAGCUUGUGUGUUAGUGGAACGGUCUGGAAAGUCCGACGGUACAGGGUGAUAGUCCCGUACACCAAAAUGCACAGGCUGUGAACUCGAAGAGUAGGGCGGGACACGUGGUAUCCUGUCUGAAUAUGGGGGGACCAUCCUCCAAGGCUAAAUACUCCUGACUGACCGAUAGUGAACCAGUACCGUGAGGGAAAGGCGAAAAGAACCCCGGCGAGGGGAGUGAAAAAGAACCUGAAACCGUGUACGUACAAGCAGUGGGAGCACCUUCGGGUGUGACUGCGUACCUUUUGUAUAAUGGGUCAGCGACUUAUAUUCUGUAGCAAGGUUAACCGUAUAGGGGAGCCGCAGGGAAACCGAGUCUUAACUGGGCGUUAAGUUGCAGGGUAUAGACCCGAAACCCGGUGAUCUAGCCAUGGGCAGGUUGAAGGUUGGGUAACACUAACUGGAGGACCGAACCGACUAAUGUUGAAAAAUUAGCGGAUGACUUGUGGCUGGGGGUGAAAGGCCAAUCAAACCGGGAGAUAGCUGGUUCUCCCCGAAAGCUAUUUAGGUAGCGCCUCGUGAACUCAUCUUCGGGGGUAGAGCACUGUUUCGGCUAGGGGGUCAUCCCGACUUACCAACCCGAUGCAAACUACGAAUACCGAAGAAUGUUAUCACGGGAGACACACGGCGGGUGCUAACGUCCGUCGUGAAGAGGGAAACAACCCAGACCGCCAGCUAAGGUCCCAAAGUCAUGGUUAAGUGGGAAACGAUGUGGGAAGGCACAGACAGCCAGGAUGUUGGCUUAGAAGCAGCCAUCAUUUAAAGAAAGCGUAAUAGCUCACUGGUCGAGUCGGCCUGCGCGGAAGAUGUAACGGGGCUAAACCAUGCACCGAAGCUGCGGCAGCGACACUAUGUGUUGUUGGGUAGGGGAGCGUUCUGUAAGCCUGCGAAGGUGUGCUGUGAGGCAUGCUGGAGGUAUCAGAAGUGCGAAUGCUGACAUAAGUAACGAUAAAGCGGGUGAAAAGCCCGCUCGCCGGAAGACCAAGGGUUCCUGUCCAACGUUAAUCGGGGCAGGGUGAGUCGACCCCUAAGGCGAGGCCGAAAGGCGUAGUCGAUGGGAAACAGGUUAAUAUUCCUGUACUUGGUGUUACUGCGAAGGGGGGACGGAGAAGGCUAUGUUAGCCGGGCGACGGUUGUCCCGGUUUAAGCAUGUAGGCUGGUUGUCCAGGCAAAUCCGGAUAAUCAAGGCUGAGGUGUGAUGACGAGGCACUACGGUGCUGAAGUAACAAAUGCCCUGCUUCCAGGAAAAGCCUCUAAGCAUCAGGUAACAUUAAAUCGUACCCCAAACCGACACAGGUGGUCAGGUAGAGAAUACCAAGGCGCUUGAGAGAACUCGGGUGAAGGAACUAGGCAAAAUGGUGCCGUAACUUCGGGAGAAGGCACGCUGGUGUGUAGGUGAAGCCCCUGCGGGUGGAGCUGAGACCAGUCGAAGAUACCAGCUGGCUGCAACUGUUUAUUAAAAACACAGCACUGUGCAAACACGAAAGUGGACGUAUACGGUGUGACGCCUGCCCGGUGCCGGAAGGUUAAUUGAUGGGGUUAUCCGUAAGGAGAAGCUCUUGAUCGAAGCCCCGGUAAACGGCGGCCGUAACUAUAACGGUCCUAAGGUAGCGAAAUUCCUUGUCGGGUAAGUUCCGACCUGCACGAAUGGCGUAAUGAUGGCCAGGCUGUCUCCACCCGAGACUCAGUGAAAUUGAACUCGCUGUGAAGAUGCAGUGUACCCGCGGCAAGACGGAAAGACCCCGUGAACCUUUACUAUAGCUUGACACUGAACAUUGAGCCUUGAUGUGUAGGAUAGGUGGGAGGCUUUGAAGCGUGGACGCCAGUCUGCGUGGAGCCAACCUUGAAAUACCACCCUUUAAUGUUUGAUGUUCUAACGUUGGCCCCUGACCGGGGUUGCGGACAGUGUCUGGUGGGUAGUUUGACUGGGGCGGUCUCCUCCCAAAGCGUAACGGAGGAGCACGAAGGUUAGCUAAUCCUGGUCGGACAUCAGGAGGUUAGUGCAAUGGCAUAAGCUAGCUUGACUGCGAGCGUGACGGCGCGAGCAGGUGCGAAAGCAGGUCAUAGUGAUCCGGUGGUUCUGAAUGGAAGGGCCAUCGCUCAACGGAUAAAAGGUACUCCGGGGAUAACAGGCUGAUACCGCCCAAGAGUUCAUAUCGACGGCGGUGUUUGGCACCUCGAUGUCGGCUCAUCACAUCCUGGGGCUGAAGUAGGUCCCAAGGGUAUGGCUGUUCGCCAUUUAAAGUGGUACGCGAGCUGGGUUUAGAACGUCGUGAGACAGUUCGGUCCCUAUCUGCCGUGGGCGCUGGAGAAUUGAGGGGGGCUGCUCCUAGUACGAGAGGACCGGAGUGGACGCAUCACUGGUGUUCGGGUUGUCAUGCCAAUGGCACUGCCCGGUAGCUAAAUGCGGAAGAGAUAAGUGCUGAAAGCAUCUAAGCACGAAACUUGCCCCGAGAUGAGUUCUCCCUGAGACUAUAAGUCUCCUGAAGGAACGUUGAAGACGACGACGUUGAUAGGCCGGGUGUGUAAGCGCAGCGAUGCGUUGAGCUAACCGGUACUAAUGAACCGUGAGGCUUAACCUU